rnacentral:lncRNA from 1 species
GUUAAAUCGACAGGCCACCUGCAGGGAUGCAGCAAGGCUUUAAAGGGACAGGCUUCGUAUGCAUGGGAUGCUUUUGUUACAGCACAUGGAGAGAAGAAGACGGGCUGUCAUCUCCAGCGAAGCGUCCUCCGAAGCGCAUCAGCAAAGCCACGUUUUCACUAAACUGUGAGGAGAAGCGCUGACAUCAUCUGUUGGUGGUGUAUUUGUAACUACAGGAACAAUGCUGAGGAACCACCAUCCGCUCCGCAGCUCUCUCAGCCCCACCCAGCAGCACUCAGCAAAUCAGUAAGAGAUGGAUUCAAGCAUCUCUGCAGUGUUUCUUCCUCAAAGAUAGAGAGAGAGAGAGAGGGGGUAGAGGGAAGUCACCGCCGUCACUGUAAGUCACCCACCUAAUCAGCUCAGCUCAGCACCUGGGGAGAGGGAGAGAGAGCGGAAAAGAGUGAGAGAGGUAACAAUUUUAAGGGGUGACUGAACAGCCACGUAAGGUGUUCCUGCUAUGUUCCCUCAAAGGAUGGGUUCACUGGAUGUGAAGGGAAUCAAAUUAGGAGAGGUGGCCAGCCGGGUUGGGGGCCGACGUGACGUGUUACUGUGGUGUUAUUGCAUUAAAGAAAUAUAUCAGGACGAUUUUUUGAUGCAUAGUUGGAGUUAGUGAGCUAACAAGCAAGAUAACUAGCUAUAUGUGUUCUCACACUGAGUAAUACAUAUUUUGAGGGGUUUUUUUGCACUAUGGUUGCCUUCUCUGUUAUCAAAAAAGGUGAAAUCACUGCACUCUGCCAACUCGGG